rnacentral:lncRNA from 1 species
AAUCCUCCAACUUCGCAAGAUGAGUGCUCUAUCUGUUAUGCUGAUGCCGUACAGUUUACACGCUGAGCAAUCAGUGAUUCUUCGUGGUGACAGAGAGAAAGCUUCUGGAUUUCCGAGUCAUCAGGCAAGUCUUCAGAAUAAUCACACUGCGAUCACCUAGAAGGAUUUUUUUUUUUGCAAUGCAGGAAAUUUUAGCUUAGCAACGUAGGGAUUAUUAUAAUCGAUGUAAAACCAGAACAGGUAAAUGUCAUGUAUCAAUCUAUUCUUACUCUGACACGCUCCUCUUUAAUUCUGCAGAAAAUUGGAUAAACUUAAAGAGCAGGCGUAGAACAAUUACCAAAACCUAUCAGAUUCAAUUGCAAAUGUUCUAGCUAAAAUGUAAAUGCCGGCAUGCGAUGCGAACCAAAAUCUGAAAUGAGAUCAUCCAAGAUUCAUCAAGGAAUUUAAGAG